GAUGAACGCUAGCUACAGGCUUAACACAUGCAAGUCGAGGGGUAACGAGAGGAAAGCUUGCUUUCCUUGUCGACGACCGGCGCACGGGUGAGUAACGCGUAUCCAACCUGCCCCCAACUAGGGAAUAACCUUGUGAAAGUAAGACUAAUACCCUAUAAUUUCCUCAGAUGUCAUCUGACGAGGAAUAAAGAUUUAUCGGUUGUGGAUGGGGAUGCGUCUGAUUAGCUUGUUGGCGGGGUAACGGCCCACCAAGGCAACGAUCAGUAGGGGUUCUGAGAGGAAGGCCCCCCACAUUGGAACUGGGACACGGUCCAAACUCCUACGGGAGGCAGCAGUGAGGAAUAUUGGUCAAUGGGCGGAAGCCUGAACCAGCCAAGUAGCGUGCAGGAUGACGGCCCUAUGGGUUGUAAACUGCUUUUAUACAGGAAUAAAGUUAGCCACGUGUGGUUAUUCGUAGGUACUGUAUGAAUAAGGACCGGCUAAUUCCGUGCCAGCAGCCGCAGUAA
rnacentral:rRNA from 1 species